UACAGAGGUGGCAAGCGUUGUUCGGAAUUACUGGGCGUAAAGGGCGCGUAGGCGGUCAGGUCAGUCCCGUGUGAAAUCCCUCGGCUCAACUGAGGAACUGCACGGGAAACUGCCUGGCUUGAGUUCGGGAGAGGGAAGCGGAAUUCCGGGUGUAGCGGUGGAAUGCGUAGAGAUCCGGAAGAACACCGGUGGCGAAGGCGGCCUGCUGGGCAGUGGCUGACGCUGAUGCGCGACAGCGUGGGGAGCAAACAGG
rnacentral:rRNA from 1 species